rnacentral:lncRNA from 1 species
CCCUUUUAUAGUGUUCAUCCAACAGAGGAUGAGGAGAACAGUGGGUGCUUGUAUGAGAUAUGUAUCGAUAGGGGAGGACACAGAUUCGGAGCGAUAGACAUCUCUAGAGAGAGAGAUAGAUAUGUUGUGAGCAAUGGGCAUAAAGAAUCUUGGACGUGUGGAUUGCGCGCUCAAAAUGAGCAGUGCUAUAGCGCAUAAUCAUAUCCCUGUCGUUUAGCUCAUUUUCUUUUUUUUUCUUCAGAAGAAAUGCUCUUUUUUUUUCAUUAUUUUGGUAUUGUAUAUUCUCGUGGUGGGUCAGGUCUGAAUAAUCCUAGCUACAGUCUCAGUCACCUGCCCGAAAGCAAAAGCACUGAGAGAGGCUAGCUACGAGGAGGGGAAUGGGAUCUACCUCCUGAAGAAACAAUACAAUUAAGUGAUUAAAAUUGGCUACUUUUAAUCCUUAAACAUUGUGGGAAGCCAGGUUAAACAUCAAGGAGCUCCCAUGUCGAUUGAGGGUUCUGUACGUGUUUCUUGUUGGCUAUCAGCAAAGUUUGGUGGA